ensembl:lncRNA
AAUAUGGGCACAUUUUGGUGGUCUACUUGACUCCGGCGAUCAGUUGAAUUAAAUCGGUAUAGCAGCUGAGCAGAUAAGAGAAGGAAUGGAGGAUAUGCUGAGCACAUUGGAGGAACGUCAAUUCCAUGCUUUUAUGGGGCAUUUGCUUCAGCCUUACUCCUUGUGCUUGCUUAUCUUUGCAUUGUGCACAGUGUGUUUUGUAGGAAUGCCAAUACAAUUGUUUGCCGAUUCUUGAACUGAAGCAGAAUUGGUGGGCUUUUUUUAUGUAACAUAUAUUUUUCUUUUGUUCCCUUCGCUAGCCUUACCUUGACCUCAGUGUGUCAUCAGAAACCUUAUUCAGGGGUAGGGGGAGAGGGUUGCGUAGGACAGUAGGUGUCUCUUUGUGGAACGUCCUAAGAGGUUACUAUUUUAUAUACGCUCACAUGGAUUAAAAGGGGGGGGUUCAUAUGCCGCAUGAAAUGCUAAAAGAAUACACAUACAUAUGUAACGUAUAUGUGGAAAUACAUGGCAGGUGACGCAACGUUUGGGGAGGAAGCGAAUGCGAACGUGUCCGGGGCUCUGCAGUUGUGCAUUAUACAGUGAAGCAGAGUUACAACAGAUACUUGAAGCUGAGCAUGUUCCGAGACUGCAACUCCCUACCUAGUGCCUCAGCAUGCAAAUGUCUAUAUCGUGUCGUCUGUAUACCAAAUCCAUAACUUGGUUCAACCAAGAAAAAGGAAUCCCAUUUAAGCCUGCAAAUCAGUUUAAUUCAGUUUCAGUACAGUGACUUAGAGCUUAUUAUGAGCUAACAUCAAGUCAUUAUCGUCAUGAUGUCUAAUAUAAUUUACGUUAUAAGAUUUUGUAGUUACCUGUUGAUCAUUAUUAUGUUACAUUUUGGGCAUUUGCAUGUUGUGAUUUGUCAAAUGUAAUUGGUCAUGAAAUAUCAAUUUUUGUUUUAGGGUUUUGUUGGACCAAAAUGAUACAAGCCAGUAUUGUUUGUCUGAUAUAGAUAUUUCUCAAGUGUCUAACCCCAAAAUGUUUUCUUUAAAACAAGAUGUUCCAUAUCAUUAGAAAAAUCUACUUGUCGUUACUGCUCAAUUUUUGGAGGAUGUUAAAUGAUAUUGAUUGUCUCUUAUUCAGGAAUAUAAAAGAUCCAGGGAUUUGUUUGAUUGCCAUUAGGCAAAUGCCAAUAUCAAAACCCAUGCAAAAUGACAAGUAUAACAUCAAAGUUUGGGGUGAAGGACUAGGUCUUGUAAAUACUCAACUGAUUCAUGUUCGGUUUCAUGCUGUACAUAAGAUGUGUGACUUUGUGUCGGAAAGGAAAGUCAAAAGAUAGUUCUGAAUCUAAAAAUGUGAGAUAGGAUGUCCAAUUUUAGUUCUCUGUCUUGACCUUAUUAGUACAAGACCAUUGUAACAAUAUGCAUUGCAUACACUUUAUUUUGAAUUGGUCAUCUUCCCAUAGCAGUUUGCAUUAUUGACUUUCUGGUUGCUUUUUACGGUCCUACAGCUCCUUGACAUGAUGAACAGUGCAUUAUCUCAAAAAAAUAGAUAUAUAUUUGAAUACUUAUUUUUGUCUUUGGUCAAGGUGACUGUGACUUGCUUCUCUUUUUCCUUUUUUUAUUUUUACAAUCUCUUGACAUGGAGGUUAGUUUUUUGUUCAUUUUCACAACUACUGUAGUUAUUUUGUGGAUUGAUGAAUAUAAAUCGGCAUCUGACCAUAUUUACUUCUAAGAAAAGGACCACGCUUUUUUUUGUGUCCCCCUCAUGCAGUUUGCAGGCUGUCUUGGCGUCUCCCUAGCUCUGGUCCAGCGUAGGUGUUGUCCUGGGGGGCACUGAGCUUUUUGAACAGGAGGGGCGAUAGAACACGAGCACCCUGGACCUUAGCUAUAUUGCCCCCCCCCCUUCUGAAGUGCCAUUCUUAUUCGGCUGCUGGAAGUCGCUCUGGGUUCUUCCACUGAUUUAUAGUAUUUGUUCUGUUUUUCCUGCCCUCCUGAGGUUUAUUUGGUUCUCUGUUGUAAUUAUUGUUUCACAUUUUCUUAAAUCUUGUAGUAAAUAAAGUUUACUUGCUACUA